rnacentral:rRNA from 1 species
UACGGGGGGGGCAAGCGUUGUUCGGAAUUACUGGGCGUAAAGGGCUCGUAGGCGGCCAACUAAGUCGGAUGUGAAAUCCCCAAGCUUAACUUGGGAACUGCAUCCGAUACUGGAUGGCUUGAAUCCGGGAGAGGGAUGUGGAAUUCCAGGUGUAGCGGUGAAAUGCGUAGAUAUCUGGAGGAACACCGGUGGCGAAGGCGGCAUCCUGGACCGGUAUUGACGCUGAUGCGCGAAAGCCAGGGGAGCAAACGGG